ACCAAGUAUCUAUUCCAAAAAAUUCUGUGGUUUUUCAAUAAUAACUAAAUAACUAAGAGAUAAAACAUGAUGAAAUUUCAUGAGUAAAGAGUUCAAACAUAAACAGUGAGAUAGGUGCAGAGUCUGGACGCCCAGCACAUUGUCCAUGCUAGCUUUUUGUUGUUUUGAGGCGGUGUCUAUCCACCCUGUGCAUUACCAUUAUUUUUUAUUUUCUGAGUUUUUUAUCCACAUGAUAAACCUAUUCCGGAUUCUGAGAAUUAAUUUAGAACUACUUGAAUAUCACACUAUCCAAUUAUCCACAUUGUGGCACAUUUCCUAAUUUUUAUGAAAAUUACUGAGGAGACUCCUUAAGUAAGAGGGCCGCAGAAAAAUUCGACAUUAGCGACAUUAUUGUCUCAUCAACGUUAUAACAGUUUUUUUCUGCUAUUAGUAGUGCAGUGAUUUGUAAAAAUUGUAAGGGUGACAUAAACAUUUUGAAAGCUUCAACUCGUGGUUUGGGAUUUCAUUUAUACAUACAUUGUUCUGCAAUGUAAAUGCGGUAAAGAAGACGUACCUUCCAACCCAAUAAUAGACGAAAAAUGUGCAGAACAGGAUUUUUUCGAAAAAGAAGGAGCUUUAUAUGGCGCAGGAAUUGCUGAUUGAGUGAGUACCUGACCCGCCUCACCCGGAAGUUCAAAGGCGAUUUUCUCGAUGUAUUGGAAUCUCAAAACUCCGUAAUCAAUCAUUAAAUCAGUGUUGGGGCCCGUCUAUUUCGUCAUCAAAUCAUCAAUUCCAGAUUGUUU